UACGUAGGGCGCAAGCGUUGUCCGGAAUUAUUGGGCGUAAAGAGCUCGUAGGUGGUGUGUCGCGUCUGCCGUGAAAGCCCGGGGCUUAACUCCGGGUCUGCGGUGGAUACGGGCAGACUAGAGGCAGGUAGGGGAGAACGGAAUUCCUGGCGUAGCGGUGAAAUGCGCAGAUAUCAGGAGGAACACCAGUGGCGAAGGCGGUGCUCUGGGCCGGAACUGACGCUGAGGAGCGAAAGCGUGGGGAGCAAACAGG
rnacentral:rRNA from 1 species